rnacentral:rRNA from 1 species
ACGCUGGCGGCAGGCCUAACACAUGCAAGUCGAACGGUAACAGGAAGCAGCUUGCUGCUUCGCUGACGAGUGGCGGACGGGUGAGUAAUGUCUGGGAAACUGCCUGAUGGAGGGGGAUAACUACUGGAAACGGUGGCUAAUACCGCAUAACGUCGCAAGACCAAAGAGGGGGACCUUCGGGCCUCUUGCCAUCAGAUGUGCCCAGAUGGGAUUAGCUAGUUGGUGAGGUAACGGCUCACCAAGGCGACGAUCCCUAGCUGGUCUGAGAGGAUGACCAGCCACACUGGAACUGAGACACGGUCCAGACUCCUACGGGAGGCAGCAGUGGGGAAUAUUGCACAAUGGGCGCAAGCCUGAUGCAGCCAUGCCGCGUGUAUGAAGAAGGCCUUCGGGUUGUAAAGUACUUUCAGCGGGGAGGAAGGUGUUGUGGUUAAUAACCACAGCAAUUGACGUUACCCGCAGAAGAAGCACCGGCUAACUCCGUGCCAGCAGCCGCGGUAAUACGGAGGGUGCAAGCGUUAAUCGGAAUUACUGGGCGUAAAGCGCACGCAGGCGGUCUGUCAAGUCGGAUGUGAAAUCCCCGGGCUCAACCUGGGAACUGCAUUCGAAACUGGCAGGCUUGAGUCUUGUAGAGGGGGGUAGAAUUCCAGGUGUAGCGGUGAAAUGCGUAGAGAUCUGGAGGAAUACCGGUGGCGAAGGCGGCCCCCUGGACAAAGACUGACGCUCAGGUGCGAAAGCGUGGGGAGCAAACAGGAUUAGAUACCCUGGUAGUCCACGCCGUAAACGAUGUCUACUUGGAGGUUGUGCCCUUGAGGCGUGGCUUCCGGAGCUAACGCGUUAAGUAGACCGCCUGGGGAGUACGGCCGCAAGGUUAAAACUCAAAUGAAUUGACGGGGGCCCGCACAAGCGGUGGAGCAUGUGGUUUAAUUCGAUGCAACGCGAAGAACCUUACCUGGUCUUGACAUCCACAGAACUUUCCAGAGAUGGAUUGGUGCCUUCGGGAACUGUGAGACAGGUGCUGCAUGGCUGUCGUCAGCUCGUGUUGUGAAAUGUUGGGUUAAGUCCCGCAACGAGCGCAACCCUUAUCCUUUGUUGCCAGCGAUUAGGUCGGGAACUCAAAGGAGACUGCCAGUGAUAAACUGGAGGAAGGUGGGGAUGACGUCAAGUCAUCAUGGCCCUUACGACCAGGGCUACACACGUGCUACAAUGGCGCAUACAAAGAGAAGCGACCUCGCGAGAGCAAGCGGACCUCAUAAAGUGCGUCGUAGUCCGGAUUGGAGUCUGCAACUCGACUCCAUGAAGUCGGAAUCGCUAGUAAUCGUGGAUCAGAAUGCCACGGUGAAUACGUUCCCGGGCCUUGUACACACCGCCCGUCACACCAUGGGAGUGGGUUGCAAAAGAAGUAGGUAGCUUAACCUUCGGGAGGGCGCUUACCACUUUGUGAUUCAUGACUGGGGUGAAGUCGUAACAAGGUAACCGUAGGGGAACCUGCGGUUGGAUCACCUCCUUACCUUAAAGAA